rnacentral:tRNA from 1 species
UGGGGUGUCGCCAAGGGGUAAGGCAUCGGAAUUUGGAUCCGACAUUCAAGGGUUCGAAUCCUUUCACCCCAGC